rnacentral:rRNA from 1 species
UACAUAGGGGCGAGCGUUAUCCGGAAUUAUUGGGCGUAAAGGGUGCGUAGGCGGUUAUUUAAGUUUGGGGUGUAAGUGCAGUGCUUAACACUGUGAGGCUCCAAAAACUGGGUAGCUAGAGACAGAUAGAGGCAAGUGGAAUUCCAUGUGUAGCGGUAAAAUGCGUAAAUAUAUGGAGGAACACCAGUGGCGAAGGCGGCUUGCUGGGUCUAGUCUGACGCUGAUGCACGAAAGCGUGGGGAGCAAACAGGAUUAGAUACCCUGGUA